rnacentral:rRNA from 1 species
UACAGAGGUCCCAAGCGUUGUUCGGAUUCACUGGGCGUAAAGAGCUCGUAGGUGGUUUGUCGCGUUGUUCGUGAAAUCUCACGGCUUAACUGUGAGCGUGCGGGCGAUACGGGCAGACUAGAGUACUGCAGGGGAGACUGGAAUUCCUGGUGUAGCGGUGGAAUGCGCAGAUAUCAGGAGGAACACCGGUGGCGAAGGCGGGUCUCUGGGCAGUAACUGACGCUGAGGAGCGAAAGCGUGGGGAGCGAACAGG